AUGAAUAUCAUUCAUCCUGUCCCACCUGCCAUGGUUGGCAUAAAUCAUUGCACUUCAGGGACUAUUGGGUUGAAGUAGAAAUCUUGCAUCAUAAUGGACAAUCAGAGCCUCAUGCUGGAUCUAUAGGGACUAAACACCCAGCCUUCCCCCCCACUGAUCGACAGAUACACCACAUCUUAGGCUACAGGGUGAAUUCUUACCCCCCAGGC
rnacentral:lncRNA from 1 species